GAAAUGCGAUAAGUAAUGUGAAUUGCAGAAUUCAGUGAAUCAUCAAAUUUUUGAACGCACAUUGCACUCAUACUUGUAUGAGUACACUUGUUUGAGUGUCGGUUAACAAACCUUAAUAACAAAAUUAAUUUGUUAUUAGAUGAUGAGUUUUUGUCAAUAUUCACUUAUUGUCACUCUAAACCAAUGGUAAACUUGUAGGUUAAUUACAAUUCAUCUAUUUGACGGUUGAUGUUUCAUCAAUAAUGGAAAAUAGUUUGAUUUAUGAGACUUACAAGUAAUAUACAUUACUAAAGAAGGUUUACAUGUAACGCAAAUCUUCAAUUAACUUUUACAAUUCGACCUCAAAUCAAGUGGGAGUACCCGCUGAAUUUAA
rnacentral:misc_RNA from 1 species